GUUAUUGCGAAAGUAAUCAUGCUUAGUAUGAGAGGAACAGCGGGUUCAAACAGUUGGUUAAUGGACUUGGUCGAAAGGCCAAUGGUCCAAAGCUACAAUUUCAGAGCCUAUAACUGAACGGGUGCAAUACUACUAGAUUAUUUACGGUAAC
rnacentral:ncRNA from 1 species